rnacentral:rRNA from 1 species
UACGGGGGGGGCAAGCGUUGUUCGGAAUUACUGGGCGUAAAGGGCGCGUAGGCGGUUCGCUAAGUUGAAUGUGAAAACUCUGGGCUUAACCCAGAGCCUGCAUUCAAUACUGGCGGGCUAGAGUUCUGGAGGGGAUAGCGGAAUUCCUGGUGUAGCGGUGAAAUGCGUAGAUAUCUGGAGGAACACCGGUGGCGAAGGCGGCAUCCUGGACCGGCAUUGACGCUGAGGCGCGAAAGCCAGGGGAGCAAACGGG